rnacentral:rRNA from 1 species
AUGAACGCUGGCGGCGUGCUUAACACAUGCAAGUCGAACGGAAAGGCCCAAGCUUGCUUGGGUACUCGAGUGGCGAACGGGUGAGUAACACGUGGGUGAUCUGCCCUGCACUUCGGGAUAAGCCUGGGAAACUGGGUCUAAUACCGGAUAGGACCACAUUUUGGAUGGUGUGGUGGAAAGUUUUUCGGUGUGGGAUGAGCUCGCGGCCUAUCAGCUUGUUGGUGGGGUAAUGGCCUACCAAGGCGUCGACGGGUAGCCGGCCUGAGAGGGUGUACGGCCACAUUGGGACUGAGAUACGGCCCAGACUCCUACGGGAGGCAGCAGUGGGGAAUACUGCACAAUGGGCGCAAGCCUGAUGCAGCGACGCCGCGUGGGGGAUGACGGCCUUCGGGUUGUAAACUCCUUUCGCUAGGGACGAAGCGCAAGUGACGGUACCUGGAGAAGAAGCACCGGCUAACUACGUG